UACGAAGGGUGCAAGCGUUACUCGGAAUUACUGGGCGUAAAGCGUGCGUAGGCGGUUUGUUAAGUCUGUCGUGAAAGCCCUGGGCUCAACCUGGGAAUUGCGAUGGAUACUGGCAAGCUAGAGUACGGUAGAGGAUGGUGGAAUUCCCGGUGUAGCGGUGAAGUGCGUAGAGAUCGGGAGGAACACCCGUGGCGAAGGCGGCCAUCUGGACCAGUACUGACGCUGAGGCACGAAAGCGUGGGGAGCAAACAGG
rnacentral:rRNA from 1 species